rnacentral:rRNA from 1 species
ACCCGCUGAACUUAAGCAUAUCAGUAAGCGGAGGAAAAGAAACUAACUAGGAUUCCCCGAGUAGCGGCGAGCGAAAGGGGAGAAGCCCAGCGCCGAAGCGCGCGGCCUAUUGGCCGCCGUGCAAUGUGGCGUUUCGGCGGCGACUCGUCGUCGCCCGCUCUGGCACGCGUACCUCUGAAUGGGUCUGCCCGCAGCGGGUGUCAGGCCUCUACUUGCCAGGUGGAGCGGGCGCGGCACGUCGUCGUCGCGGAGUCGGGUUGCUUGAGAGUGCAGCCCAAAGUGGGUGGUAAGCUCCAUCUAAGGCUAAAUACCUAGUGCGAGACCGAUAGCAAACAAGUACCGUGAGGGAAAGUUGCAAAGAACUUUGAAAAGAGAGUUCAAGAGUACGUGAAACCGUUCAGAGGCAAACGGACGGAACUGGGCGAGUUCGCCGUCGUCAUUCAGCCGCCGCUGGCCCCCCGGGGCCGCGCGACGGUGCACUUGGCGGCGGCGGAGCGCGACGACCGCCUGUCGGGUCGUCAGAAGCCGGGCGGCAAGGUGGCGACGCGCUCGCGCGUCGUGUUACAGGCCGUCCAGGCGCAGGCUGACCUGGCGGGCGAGGAGCGCCUGCGGUGCACUCCCCUUUGCGCGGGAGCGGCCCGACGUGGUGGGCUUGCGGACGCCGGCGUUGAACUGCUCGCAGUUUGAUGUCGCGCGCGCCGCCUGUCGCGCUGCUCGGUGCCGCGAGGCACGCAGGGUCCGGGUCGUGUGGUUCCUGGCACUCCGUCCGACCCGUCUUGAAACACGGACCAAGGAGUUGAGCACGCGCGCGAGUCGAUGGGCUCGAUGAACCCCAGUGGCGCAGCUAAGGCAAAACGGGCGUGAUCCGGCACUGGCGUGUCGGCGCAACGCCGGCCCGCAGCCGACUCGAUGCGAGUGGCUGCGGCGCAAGAGCGCGUGUGCUCAGACCCGAAAGGUGGUGAACUAUGCUUGAGCAGGGCGAAGCCAGAGGAAACUCUGGUGGAGGCUCGCAGCGAUCCUGACGUGCAAAUCGGUCGUCAAACUUGAGCAUAGGGGCGAAAGACUAAUCGAACCGCCUAGUAGCUGGUUCCCUCCGAAGUUUCCCUCAGGAUAGCUGGCACUCGGAUAAAUGGUUUUAUCCGGUAAAGCGAAUGAUUAGAGGCAUUGGGGACGAAACGUCCUCAACCUAUUCUCAAACUUUAAAUGGGUAAGAGGCGCGACCCUUCCUGAUCGGGGUCGCGUGCUUGAACAGAGAGUGCCCAGUGGGCCGUUUUUGGUAAGCAGAACUGGCGCUGUGGGAUGAACCAAACGCGCGGUUAGGGUGCCUAACGCACGCUCAUGAGAGACCACAAAAGGUGUUGGUUGAUAUAGACAGCAGGACGGUGGCCAUGGAAGUCGGAAUCCGCUAAGGAGUGUGUAACAACUCACCUGCCGAAUCAACUAGCCCUGAAAAUGGAUGGCGCUGGAGCGUGCGACCCAUACCGCGCCGUCGGGGCAAUGCGUGCGAAAUGCCAGGCCCCGACGAGUAGGAGGGCGUGUCGGUGGCGUUGAAGCGUAGUGCGCGAGCACGCGUGGAGCCGCCUUCAGUGCAGAUCUUGGUGGUAGUAGCAAGUAUACAAAUGAGAACUUUGUAGACCGAAGUGGAGAAGGGUUCCAUGUGAACAGCAGUUGGACAUGGGUCAGUCGGCCCUAAGAGAUCGGAAAAUUCCGUUCUGAACGGGGGAGGCGCGUCGCGUGGUCGGCCGUCUAAACACAUAAUACAUGCUGCACUCGAAUCGCUCGUCGGAAUUAUGGAAAGCGGGCGAGGAGAGGAAGAGAGUGAGCGGCGUCCCACGCGCUCGCGGCAGGCAACCCCCGAUGCGAUCGAAAGGGAAUCGGGUUAAUAUUCCCGAACCUGGCAGUGGAGAUUGGGCCCUCGGGCCCCAGUGCGGUAACGCAACCGAACUCGGAGACGCCAGCGUCGAUCCCGGGAAGAGUUCUCUUUUCUUUGUUAGGAGCGGACUCCCUGGAAUUGGCUUGUCCAGAGAUAGGGACGUUGCAUCCGUAAAGCGUCGCGCCUCACGCGGCGUCCGGUGCAUCGGCGUUGGCCCUUGAAAAUCCGAGGAAGGCAGUGUAAUUUUCACUCCAGGCCGUACCCGAAUCCGCAGCAGGUCUCCAAGGUGAACAGCCUCUGGUCGAUAGAACAAUGUAGGUAAGGGAAGUCGGCAAAUCCGAUCCGUAACUUCGGGAUAAGGAUUGGCUCUGAGGUGCGGGCUGCUUCGGGUCGCGGCAAGAAGCGGACCGCGCGUUGGUUGGACUGGACGCGUCUCGGCGCGUUCGGACCGCCGCCAGCGCGCGUCCGUGGGAGGCCGUGGCUUUCGGCGGCGUGGGCUCGCGCCCGCGUCGCCUUCGUUCGGCCUAAACGCACAGCACAGAACUGGCACGGACUCUGGGAACACGACUGUCUAAUUAAAACAAAGCAUCGCGAUGGCCGCUGGUCGGUGUUGACGCGAUGUGAUUUCUGCCCAGUGCUUUGAAUGUCAAAGUGAAGAAAUUCAACCAAGCGCAGGUAAACGGCGGGAGUAACUAUGACUCUCUUAAGGUAGCCAAAUGCCUCGUCAUCUAAUUAGUGACGCGCAUGAAUGGAUUAACGAUGUUCCCACUGUCCCUAUCUACUAUCUAGCGAAACCACAGCCAAGGGAACGGGCUUGGCAAAUACAGCGGGGAAAG